ensembl:lincRNA
GGAAAAGCAGAUUUCUCUCAUCCUUGAAGUGAAUUCUUGAUCCCUUCAUCUUCAUCUGUGGAUAGAAAGUGAAGGUCAGCUUGUUGGCUUUCUUGAAUUCAGUCUUCAUCUCAGAUAUUUGCAGGUGUAGAAGAGCUAUGCCAAGUGGUGAUUCUGCACGUGGUCAGCCCGGGGAGUUCAUGAAAUAUGCAGCUCCUGGGUCCCUUUCAAAGAAAUUCUGACUUCUCCAUCAAUCUGUGAUAGGACCCACAAACUGGCACUUUAAAGAGUCUCUUCAAAGGAUCAAGAAGUCAUGUCUACAGAUCACAAAGCACUGGACAGAUGCGGGAUGAUGGUUGCUGCUGAGUCAGGAGCCCCCUUGAUGACUGUGGGGAAUGGAGGACCUCAAAUGCCUGGCCACCACACCCAUCCACAUUUUAAGAAAUACCCCUUGCAAAUGCAAAUCUAUCUCAACUCCUUUUGAAUUUUUUUUUUUUUUAAAUCCCCAAGGGAACUGAAGCCAGGAAGAUUUAAUGACGUGGAGAAUUGGAGCUCAACUUUGCUUUUUUGCACUCCAGUGCUGCGAUGAUUGUGCAAGACCAGUCACUGGUCAGUGUUGAGUAAAUCAACUGACUGAAAUCAGAAGUGGACUGAAGAAUACACCUUUGUCUCUGGCAGAUUCACACUGUGGUCAGUGGGGAGAGAGCUGCCCUUUCUGUGGGGGUUAGUCAGGGUUCUGAGUCAUGCCUGUGAGUCUCUGAGUAAUGUCAAUCUGCUUCUAAUGGAUUGUUUUCUUCUUAAUUUUAUCAGAGUGACAAUAUAUGUUGUUUUCCUUUGAGCAUUAAAU